rnacentral:snRNA from 1 species
AGCUCUCUCUUGGCCACAAGGCUUAGAUCAAGUGUAGUAUCUGUUCUUAUCAGUCUAACCAACUGGUACGCACCCUACGGGGGUGCAACCCUACCCUUAUGGUGGAUCUCUAUUUUUGAAUGACGGAAGGGCGAUCCUCUGUGCUCUUCUCCUUGGAACCACCCUCU